UUGGUUCUGUCAGCCUGGUCUAAUCAUUGGACCGGACUGGUUACGGCCCCGCCCCGAUCUACAUGGCUCGAGUCAGUGGUGGCGGUUCGAAAUGCAUUAGGUUUUUGAAUCCGACCCGUUAAUCCAAAUCGAAACCUUCCUCGCCUUCAAAUUCCCAGAUCCCGUUCUUUGGUAUCGUCGCGGGACGAAGCAAGCACGAAAUCUUCUCAUCUCCAAUGGCAAGUGUCAACCCUAGGAUGAGGUCUAGGAAGGAAAAGCCCGGAGCGCCGCCAUCAUGGAUUGAGCCAACAGAAGCGGCAAGAGAUAUCGAUACCGAGCAAUCUGGCAGCCUUGACGCCAAGGAGCUGAAUGUCGCCAUGAGGUACUAAUAUCACGUGGCUUAACUGGGCCCUGGGGUUUGAAGUGACAGAAGACGUUGACUACGGAUAUUAAUUGUUUGAUGGCUGAAAUAGACAAUGAUAGAGUGGGGCAAUUGAUUUUGAUGAAUUUCGUUACAUGAUGAAGGCCAAGAUUGGAGAAAGGGGCAGCAAAAAACUUACGAGGGCUUUUCGCAUUAUUGACCAGGAUGGUGAUGAAGAUGUUGAUGCUGAGGAAUUCAUGAGGAUUAUGAGGAGCUGUGGGCAUUAGAAUUUAUCCUGUUGUAAAGUUUUUAAAUCCCCCCUUAUGAUCAUCUGAAUGAUUCAGUCCUUA